rnacentral:rRNA from 1 species
GAUGAACGCUAGCGGCAGGCUUAAUACAUGCAAGUCGAGGGGCAUCAAGGUACACGAAAGUGUAUUGUUGGCGACCGGCGGACGGGUGAGUAAUAGGUAGGUAACCUACCUCAUACUGAGGCAUAGCUGGGAGAAAUUCCAGGUAAUUCCUCAUGAGGUUAUAUGACACAUGUGAUAUAAUCAAAGGUAUCGCAAGGUACUGGUAUGAGAUGGGCUUACUGACCAUUAGCUAGUUGGUGAGAUAAGAGCUCACCAAGGCGAAGAUGGUUAGGGGUUUUGAGAGAGAGAUCCCCCACAUUGGAACUGAGAUACGGUCCAGACUCCUACGGGAGGCAGCAGUAGGGAAUAUUGGGCAAUGGGCGGAAGCCUGACCCAGCCAUGCCGCGUGAAGGAAGACGGCCUUAUGGGUUGUAAACUUCUUUACUAUGCGACUAACUAGAUUUACGAGAUAAUUCUAUAGAAUGUAGCAUAGACAAAAGCACCGGA